rnacentral:rRNA from 1 species
CUUGCACCUGGUGGCGAGUGGCGAACGGGUGAGUAAUACAUCGGAACGUACCUUAUCGUGGGGGAUAACGCAGCGAAAGCUGUGCUAAUACCGCAUACGCCCUGAGGGGGAAAGCGGGGGAUCGAAAGACCUCGCGCGAUUAGAGCGGCCGAUGCCUGAUUAGCUUGUUGGUGGGGUAAAAGCCCACCAAGGCGACGAUCAGUAGCUGGUCUGAGAGGACGAUCAGCCACACUGGGACUGAGACACGGCCCAGACUCCUACGGGAGGCAGCAGUGGGGAAUUUUGGACAAUGGGGGAAACCCUGAUCCAGCAAUGCCGCGUGAGUGAAGAAGGCCUUCGGGUUGUAAAGCUCUUUUGUCAGGGAAGAAACACCGGCUCUAACACAGUCCGGGAAUGACGGUACCUGAAGAAUAAGCACCGGCUAACUACGUGCCAGCAGCCGCGGUAAUACGUAGGGUGCGAGCGUUAAUCGGAAUUACUGGGCGUAAAGCGUGCGCAGGCGGUUAUACAAGACAGGCGUGAAAUCCCCGGGCUUAACCUGGGAAUGGCGCCUGUGACUGUAUAGCUAGAGUGUGUCAGAGGGGGGUAGAAUUCCACGUGUAGCAGUGAAAUGCGUAGAUAUGUGGAGGAAUACCAAUGGCGAAGGCAGCCCCCUGGGAUAACACUGACGCUCAUGCACGAAAGCGUGGGGAGCAAACAG